GACGAACGCUGGCGGCGUGCUUAACACAUGCAAGUCGAACGGAAAGGCCCUGCUUGCAGGGUGCUCGAGUGGCGAACGGGUGAGUAACACGUGGGUGAUCUGCCCCUUACUUUGGGAUAAGCCUGGGAAACUGGGUCUAAUACUGGAUAGGACCAUGCUGUAGGUGGUGUGGUGGAAAGAUUAGUUUCGGUAAGGGAUGAGCUCGCGGCCUAUCAGCUUGUUGGUGGGGUAAUGGCCUACCAAGGCGUCGACGGGUAGCCGGCCUGAGAGGGUGGUCGGCCACAUUGGGACUGAGAUACGGCCCAGACUCCUACGGGAGGCAGCAGUGGGGAAUAUUGCACAAUGGGCGCAAGCCUGAUGCAGCGACGCCGCGUGGGGGAUGACGGCCUUCGGGUUGUAAACUCCUUUCAGCCAUGACGAAGCCCUUGUGGUGACGGUAGUGGUAGAAGAAGCACCGGCUAACUACGUG
rnacentral:rRNA from 1 species